rnacentral:lncRNA from 1 species
CCAUCUAUGUAGUUCGCGGUUGUGUCUGCGGUGUUUGUUUACGUUCUGGUGUCGAGGCUCGCGCGCAAUGUGUUCAUCCUACAGCUCCCGGAAUCCUAGCCGACGUACGAAUCAAUGCUCAAGAAUUUCACGAUGAACCAGCACCGACUGCCAUGCUUGAGACCCAAGGACUGAAAAGUCCUUAGAUGAAAUAAAUAAGCACACAUCAUAUUUGUCAAAAAUUAUAUUAAUUAAAAAAAAAUGCUUCGAACAAUUCCGAUCAACGAGUUUUCCCCUAGAGUCAGGUGGAGCUCACUGCUCAAAAAUAAAGUUGCUCACUGUCACAACGUCAUCUCGCGGACGUUACUAUUACUACACUACAAAAGUUAAACCUACUAUUAAAGCUCGCGGUAUUUGUAAAUAUAUAUGUUAGUUGUGUUUCCUGUAUACCUGUAAUAAAUGAUAGUGAUACUCAUGUGAUAUAUACGACAAAUCGUAAUCAACUUAGGAUAAGAAGGUCUCCUAUUUAUGACGAUGUGCAAUCUUAUUUAACUAAAUUCGGGUACUUGCCAGAAUCCGAUGUAGAAAUUGGAAACUUAAGGACUGAAGAACAACUUAGAGAAGCUAUAAAAAUUUACAAGUAAGUUUCCAGUGAUUCCAUUUUUCUAUUAUUAAGGGAAUUAAGGGAUGGAAAAAAAUUCCUCAAAUGUAUCAAAUUAAAAGGUUU